rnacentral:rRNA from 1 species
CCUACGGGAGGCAGCAGUGGGGAAUAUUGCACAAUGGGGGAAACCCUGAUGCAGCGACGCCGCGUGAGUGAAGAAGUAAUUCGUUAUGUAAAGCUCUAUCAGCAGGGAAGAAAAUGACGGUACCUGAGUAAGAAGCCCCGGCUAACUACGUGCCAGCAGCCGCGGUAAUAAGUAGGGGGCAAGCGUCAUCCGGAUUUACUGGGGGUAAAGGGAGCGUAGACGGCAGUGCAAGUCUGGAGUGAAAGGCGGGGGCUCAACCCCCGGACUGAUCUUGAAACUGGACGGCUGGAGUGCAGGAGAGGUAAGUGGAAUUCCUAGUGUAGCGGUGAAAUGCGUAGAUAUUAGGAGGAACACCAGUGGCGAAGGCGGCUUACUGGACUGUAACUGACGUUGAGGCUCGAAAGGGUGGGGAGCAAACAGGAUUAGAUACCCCGGUAGUC